rnacentral:rRNA from 1 species
GCAUAACGCGAAGAACCUUACCUAGGCUUGACAUGCAUCUCUAAGCGCGUGAAAGCGCGUGACCCUUCGGGGGAUUUGCACAGGUGCUGUAUGGCCGUCGUCAGCUCGUGUCGUGAGAUGUUGGGUUAAGUCCCGCAACGAGCGCAACCCUUGUGAACAGUUGCCAGCACUUAAGGUGGGAACUCUGUUCAGACUGCCCAGAUCAACUGGGAGGAAGGUGGGGACGACGUCAGGUCAGUAUGGCCCUUACGCCUAGGGCUGCACACGUACUACAAUGCCCAGCACAAUGAGAACCGAGACCGCGAGGUGGAGGAAAUCUAAAAAACUGGGCCCAGUUCGGAUUGGAGGCUGCAACUCGCCUCCAUGAAGUUGGAAUCGCUAGUAAUGGCGCAUCAGCUACGGCGCUGUGAAUACGUUCCCGGGUCUUGUACACACCG